rnacentral:rRNA from 1 species
GAUGAACGCUAGCGGCAGGCCUAAUACAUGCAAGUCGAACGGUGUCUUCGGAUAUAGUGGCGCACGGGUGCGUAACACGUAUGCAACCUACCUUACAUUGGGGGAUAGCCUUUCGAAAGGGAGAUUAAUACCGCAUAAGACAGUAGCUGGGCAUCCAGCAGCUGUUAAAGAUUUAUCGAUGUAAGCUGGGCAUGCGUCCAAUUAGCUAGUUGGUGAGGUAACGGCUCACCAAGGCAAUGAUUGGUAGGGGAACUGAGAGGUCAAUCCCCCACACUGGCCAUGAGAUACGGGCCAGACUCCUACGGGAGGCAGCAGUAGGGAAUAUUGGGCAAUGGACGCAAGUCUGACCCAGCCAUGCCGCGUGCAGGAUGAAGGCGUUAUGCGUUGUAAACUGCUUUUAUACAGGAAGAAACGACUCUUGCGAGAGGCAUUGACGGUACUGUAUGAAUAAGCACCGGCUAACUCCGUGCCAGCCGCCGCAGUAAGAC